UCAUCCUCGGUGAUCAAUAUCCUACAGCAAUCAUAUCAUAUUAAAUUUUGACAGAAAAUAAUCUACAUAUCAUAAAUAACCCUCUUACAUUCACUCAAUAAAUCGAAGAACACCAUAACUUCCUAGUAAUCAUGACAGUAAUUCAAUAGAUAUAUUCUAAUAUAUUUUGUAGCAGGCAAAGAGACCCUCCCUUCAAUUGUAUGCAUACAGACUGUUGGGUGAUCUUCACAUCGCGUACAGACAUCGACUUGGCACAGGAGGAUGAUAUUUUUUUCAUCAAGGAAUAUUCCUAGCUAACAAGUUGCAUAUUUGGGAUUCUGAUACGAAAGGCAAAGGGACUCUCCCGUCAAUUGUAUACAUGCAGGCUGGUCGCUGAUCUUUACAUCGCGUACACACAUCGACUUGGCACAGGAAAAAGAUGACGAUAUUUUAUUUUGAUCAAGACAUAUUCCUAGCUACCUAGUUGCAGAUUUAGGAUUCUGAUACUAAAGAUGUUCCUUCGGUCCUAUUCCAGAAAGCAUCAGGAUCUGGGGUGAGCUGACAGCUCCUGCGGAGACAAUGACCUCUUUGUGUGCCAUGAUCACGUGCUUCCUGUUGUCUUUCAC